rnacentral:rRNA from 1 species
UACGAAGGGGGCUAGCGUUGCUCGGAAUCACUGGGCGUAAAGCGCACGUAGGCGGAUCUUUAAGUCAGGGGUGAAAUCCUGGAGCUCAACUCCAGAACUGCCUUUGAUACUGAGGAUCUUGAGUCCGGGAGAGGUGAGUGGAACUGCUGGUGUAGCGGUGAAAUGCGUAGAGAUCAGCAAGAAUACCCGUGGCGAAGGCGGCCCCCUGGGCCGAACCUGACGCUGAGGCGCGAAGGCUAGGGGAGCGAACGGGG